CUCGAAAAGUGAAGAUAAGUAAACUUAAUUACUUGCCUUGAAUAGAAUAGGGACAGGUUUUUUUGGCAUACAUGAGCAAUUAAGCAUUGAGCCGAAACAUUGUGCGUCACGACUCACGAGCAUUGAUUGGGGGCGGAUGAAAGUUGCUCGUUUCUCCCAGAAGAUGGUUCUAUUUGAAUUUCCUUUUUCUUAUUCACAGUGGCAACACCGCUUCCAAAAUCCAAACCUCACAGAUGUUCGUCUGCAACGGUCCAUAAAUACUCUACACUUUGCAUUGAAAAAUAGUUAGGCCACAGCACAGAUGGCCUUCUGCUGGUUACUUUGUUGCAGCCAGCUUGCAAUAGGUGUUCCUUUUGCAGGCUUGUUACCUGUACGGGAUGUAACUUUAUCACAUACUGAAACAACUCUAAAGCAGCAUGUUGUAGAUCUUUCCUUUCUCCACGUGGUUACUGUGUCUCAUGAAGAUGCAUGUUUGAGAGGGUCUCUACUAUAUUGUAAGACAAAAGUGUGACGAAAACAGAAAAUCUGAAAUGGUGUUGUCAGUUUGGUGUACAGUGGUAUUGCAGUCAUUUUCCAGUUGAGAGAUGUGCUGAAAUGGAGCUUGUGCAGACUUGCAGUUCAACAUCAUACUUCAAUGUCAUUUGCUUAUGUUGGUCCCCAUGCAGUAUAUGCAGUGUUGAAUGUGCAGUUGGGUAAAAUAGUCAAUGUUCUGUCGGGCUUAUUUUAUCAGCUGCGUUUUUUCGAUCUGUCGUGUCUUGCUACAGGCGUUGAGUUCAAUCGUUUGCUGCCGUUCCAUUCCAUAGACUGGAUCCAAUGGUGAAACUGAGGUUGUUGAAAUUCAAAACUCGUCAAUAAAUUAUGUAGAUGUAGUUAAAAUUGCAAGUGCAUAUCUGGGCUCCCUUCUUCAGUGGCCCCGUUUCCCUAACUAACAACUAACCAACGCCCGCCGGUGGUCACUCACUCGCUGCGACAACCAGGAGUAAGGGUCUGGUCGAACGGGGACUUGCAAGGCGCAUGAUUCGAUUAAACCUGUUGGAGGGGCAUGAGUCUAAGCCGCAAACCUACUAUGAUGCAUUGCUCUCAUAAUAGCUGUUCCUCGGCUCUCUUCGUUCUUUUUCCGGUUUCUCUUAACCACGGCCGGGUAAUCUCCCUGGUAGAGUCAGUCGGGCAGUGUCUCCCCCUGCUUGACUGGCUGCAGUUUGUACCGGACGGUUUUUUAAAUAAAUAAAACAAGUAUAAAAAACCA